CUUUUUACGCACGUUUUAAUUUUUUUAUAUUUGUACCCACUUUUUGAAUAAGUAUUCCCACAAUACCCUUUUAGGGUUUAUUCCGAGUAUUUUCCCAUUCUUCUCACGAUUCCCCUCACCUUCUCUCUAUUUCGACCUUUGAGCUUCCCCUGUCUAUGGCGAGCUUCCCCAUCAACACCUUCGAGCUUCCCCUAUCUGCAGCGAGCUUCCCCAUCACCACCUUCCUGCUUCCCGUCUCUCCGGCGCCGGCUAUUAUUCGACAACCGCGAUUGUGACGGCAGCUCAAUCGAUGGAACUGACCUCCUAUUGAAGCAGACCUCCGAAUUCUUUUUCUUCCCUAAGGAUGGAGCUUACCUCUGAUUUCCAAUAUAGCUAUUUUAGAAGCUUGCUUUCUUAUAGUAAGCUCUACCGGGAGUGCCUUCGCAGAGCUAAGUAUAUUGGUCACAGGGUAAUUUUUUUCUUCAAAAUUGAUUUAUUUAUUGGUCACAGGGUGUUUGCCACAUCAACUCCAAAGAAUUUUGAUGUCUUUUAUCCUUACUUACAUCUGUUGUUUCCACUUUCAUAUCUCCAUGACUUUCCUAAAUCAAUGAAAGCUAAUUCCUUAGACCAAA